GUAACAAAUUAUUUGCAAUCUAGCCUUGUGUGUAAGUUUCAGGCGAGAUUAAUUCCACAUUAUUAGCAUUUGCAAGUAAAAAGUAUUAGCACACGUCGUCACGGAUGUGGAUUAAAAUUAUUAUUUUUAAUUGGUUUUCAAACAAAGUGAGACGACAGUGAUUUGAAUUAUUUGCCACUAAUUUAAUACGGUUUGAUUUAUUGUGCUUAGAAAAUUGUAUAAUAUACAGUGAGAUAGUGGUUCCUCAGUUUCUAACAAUUUUCAUCAUUCGAUAGUUUCUGGGCUGCAUGUCAAAUGUCCAAAUUUAAUUUGGAGAAAUGAAAUUUUUGAUCCAAAGUCGGCUUGUAGAUUUGUAAGUUGGGUCACACACCACUAGAAAUAUGUUGCGUAUCUAUCAAUCAACAAAUUAUGGGGAAGAAGAAGAAGACAAUUGUGUUGUCACCACAAUUAAAGGAUGUUACGCUCAACCUUGUCAACCAAUGUCUUCCGGGCUAAGGAAUACAAAAUCAGGCAGCUAUUUAGGAAAUGCCAUCAGCGGUCGUGUCAUUCAUUCUGAACAAAAAUAUUGGGGGCCGUUACUAUGUUCCCUUGAAUACGAAACCUGCGACAAGGGGGACCGUUCAUAAAUUACGCAACGCAAAAAUUGUGAUUUUAUAGAUCCCCUAUCUUCUUUAACAUGUAACACAAAAACACGAUAUCAGUUUAGUCUUAUACCCUCCCCCUCUCGCGUUCCGUAAUUUAUGAACGGCCCCAACUGGCCCACGGGCCACCUGUUCCUAUAUUUGCCACCCUUACAUUCGAUGCUGACUCAAAUCCAUUGCAUUCAAUAUGAGAACGGGUUUAGAACCACUAGCCUCGUGGAACCUACUUCGGUACACUCUUCAUAAAAGUUAUGGAAAUAUGUGUAUAUUACAUAAGGCUGAGUAAAAAAGGAUGAAACCACAAUUGGGUAAAAUAUACACACCAGUUGGGCAAAUUUUACACAAUGGUUGGAUAAAUUUUAUCCAAUUGUUAUCCUUUUUCUCAACCCUGGGUAAAUUUUUCAUAGCUUUUAUUUAGAAUGUAUAUAUAUGUGCAUACCUAUAGAUAUACCUACAUACAUAUAACAUGCAUAUAGAGAUAACAGUAUAGUUCUGUACAUUCAAAAUAGUAAUAUUUUAAGCUUUUGUCACACGCACACUUUUUGUGAAAACAAGGUAAAACUUUCACGAACAAAUUUACACAACUUUUACUCAGAGUGUAAGAACAGCAUCCGUUCGAAUAUGUAUAGGUUGAACUUUUGAAUCUUGGUUGCAGCAACAUUACUGUUGAAAGAGUAACCAUUCCGUGCGGUGGUUGUAUUAAUGCAGACCAUUUUCGCCUGACACAAUUUGUCCGGACAAAGUCUAAUCCUACCCGUCCCGGUGAUUGAGAAAAAUCUCAAGUAAUCACAUGGGUGGGGGAGGUUAAUGAGAUCAUAAAAUGUCGUUAACACAUUCUUCGUCUUAUUUAAAUGCUCUUGUUUCAAACGGUCUGAUUUAUUCGUAAAAUGAUUUUUACGUAAUAGGUAUAUUUACGUAUAAUCUGUGCAACACUUAUCGAUGAGCCACUAAAUAAGGAAUCAAGAUCUAUCAAUAAAUUUAGUUAAUUCGUACAGAUAUGUUUGAAAGUAUAUGUAUAAACUAUUAGACUUACAUAUUAGUAGAAGAUAUUUACGUAAGAGGUAUGUUUACGUAUUAUAUUUGGUAUGGGUUAUCAAAAAGUUAAUGAAGUUGCGAUAAAUUGACACUUCGAUUUCCAAUUAAUAUUCAAUCUCAUAUUCGCAUUUUAUUUUCGUAGUAGUGAAAUAUAUUUUAGGUAUGCAACUCCCAUCUGAUAAAAUCGUCGGCAGUGGAUAAAAAUUUAAAACAUAAAUCCAAAUAAAUAUUGUACACACAAAGACCUGACAAUGUAAAAUAAAAUUCGAAACCUGUCGUUUUUGAGAUUGAAUAUUAAUUGAAAAUCGAUGUUUUAAUUUGUCACAGCUUCGUUUACAUUUUGACAACCCAUACUAAUCCAGAAAGGGAACGUCCAUAUACUACGUUUGCAAAUGGGUGGGUGGGUCGGUUUUGGCUGCCUAUCUUACUUGUGUUAAGCUUAACAUGAGAAGGAUAGGGAAGGGGUGGGUGGAUCUGAAAAUCUCGGUUUACUGCAAACGUAGUAUAUGGACAUUCCCAAAUAAUUAUACGCAGUACAUAUUUUCAUAUGCAGCACCAUAUAUAAGCAAACGAUAUUUACGUAAGAGGUAUGUUUACGUAGUAUCUAACAAAAUAUGAGUAACACGUAUUAAUCAGUGGCGGAUGAAUAGGGAAGGUGGGUAAGGGGACCUGGAAGUGAGAUUAUUAUAAUAUUCCCAACGAAGUGCUAUCAUCGAAAUUCGGAAAAUAAAUUUACUGAUAAUGUUCCAAAUAGUUAGAGAACUAAGCAGGUUGUUAUAUGGAUCAAAUAGAUGUAUAAAAUCCCAACGUGUUUGUUUGGGUGACUCGGAUACUUGUUUACGUGAAAAAAUACAGUUUCUGAGACUUAUGUAUGCGUCACAGAAAAACUCAUCUAGGGGUCCAACGAUGGCUUAAUCUGCCACUGUUAUUAAUGAGCCUUAUCAAAUAGGUAAGGCACCGAAGAUGUAUUAAUAAAUUUAGUUAAUACGUCCAGAUAUUUGAAUAAUCUGUAAAUAACUUUUAAUAAUAGAAGUAGAUGAUCUUUACGUACGAGGUAAAUAUAUUCACGUACUAAAUAUAUAACACUUAUCAUUAAUAAGUUGUCAAUGAGCUUUAACCAGUAGGUACGGAACUAAAAAUCUAUUGCAUACAUUAUAAAUUAAUAUAAUUAACAAAUAUAAUUAAUAAACUAAAUUUAUUUAAUCAAUUUCAUUUAAUUUGUGUUACUUAAUUUAAUAUACAGAUAUCUGAAUAAUGUAUAAAUAAUUACGUACAAUAAAAGUAACUUGUUGCGAA